CACUGUGGAAUUCGCCCUUAGAGUUUGAUCCUGGCUCAGAUUGAACGCUGGCGGCAGGCUUAACACAUGCAAGUCGAGCGGGGGAAGGUAGCUUGCUAUUGGACCUAGCGGCGGACGGGUGAGUAAUACUUAGGAAUCUGCCUAUUAGUGGGGGACAACGUUCCGAAAGGAGCGCUAAUACCGCAUACGCCCUACGGGGGAAAGCAGGGGAUCUUCGGACCUUGCGCUAAUAGAUGAGCCUAAGUCGGAUUAGCUAGUUGGUGGGGUAAAGGCUUACCAAGGCGACGAUCU
rnacentral:rRNA from 1 species